UAUGUACUCCCUCCGUCUUAAAAUUUCUUGUCUUAGAUUUGUCUAUAUAUGAACGUAUCUACUCACAUUUUACUAUAUAGAUACAUCUAUUUUUAAGCAAACAUAAGACAAGAAUUUUGAGACGGAGGAAGUAGUAG
rfam:Hordeum vulgare subsp. vulgare, WGS project CAJW01000000 data, contig: morex_contig_38892